CCCAGGCCCCGCCCUCCUCUCUCUGUGGACACGCAGCACGGUGCAACCCCAAAUAAGCGAGCCAGAACCAAAGACCCCCCGAAUCCUGGCCACAUCCUGGCAUCCCUUUUAGAGGAGAAGAGGCUGCUGCCUGAAGUAGAUUUUGUCAGAGCGCUAAUCAACGGGAGACUGUCAUUUCAGAGGCAGAUUCCAGAGCAUCCUUCUCCUGUGGGCAGAUGCACGGGGGUUUGGGAUAAAUAUUUCAGCUCCUUGUCGCUGUUUUGUCUCCCGCUUGUCAGGAGAUGUUCUUCAAAGCCCGGCGUGAUAGCCUCCCUUGCUGGGAAGCAGGACUCCCGGGCAGGUGAGGGCACUGGAAUAAUCUCGGAAUCUCGGAAAAAGCAGUUCUCUUCCCAGGAAUGUUUCCAGUUCCUCGCUGAGAGGGCCUCUGGGACCAGAUUGCAGAUUCCUUCUGGGGAUAUGUUCUGAAGGAAGGCGUGACGGGAUCUGCUAAUUGGACGUGGGGCGCAGAGAAAGAGACGUCAGGACGACUUCAGGGGUUUGGUCCGAGCAGGCGCAGCUGUGGGGCAGCAGCUCACGGAGGAGCAGCGCUGGGUCACUGGUCACUAGACAGACGCAGCCACAAGGACUUGUACAGAGCGUCAGCACGUCGGGUUUGUUUUUCAAGCACGGAUUCAGACCGAUGGUGAGUUUCCAGCAGCUCAGUCAAACGUCCUUUUAUCUUGUCCUGGGAAAACAGGGCCGUGCCUGGGUCCCCAUGCGCGGCAGCGGCUCAGGCUUUUCCUUCUUGGUUGUAAAGCGGUUUUCACCUGGUUAGGGGUUCCUCACUUUACUGACUGGCCUUCUAAAAUGUCGGCGAUAAAUGGAAUCAUUUCCAGGCGUUCUCUGAGACAUAAGUUCUUUAAAGUUUUCAUCCCAUCAGAAUUCAAGGUAUAAGGUCUAUGCUGCGAAUGAACCCGUGUCCUUGUUCCUCUGUGGAGGAGGUGAGGGUCCCUGGGCCGGGAGAGCAAGGGGGAGGGUUGCUCAGUGGGCAGCUCCCUCAGAAAACACUGGAAUGGUGAAGGCUGCCUCUGCAGCACCUCACACAGCAGGUGCUCGGUGAACUGGCUGCUCGCCUUCUGCCCCUUGACUUUAGCUCCCCCCUGCCUUGCCUUCCCAGCUUCCCCACCGCUCAGGGUGAAAGGCGUGUGAGCGGGGUGUGGGAGCCCCCUGCCCCGGGCGGUGAUGGAGCCCAGCUGGACGGGAGGCAGG
rnacentral:lncRNA from 1 species